AGGUUUUUAUAUAGGCUUUGGCUGUUAUGAGAUUCUGACGGUAUGAUAACCUUAAACAAAAAUAUCAGGGUUUCACUGUAUUAUGAUGACAGCUAUAAAUGUAUUAUUUUUUUGUGUGUCCGGGUAAUAAAAACACUACUUUUUUUCCCACUGAACACAAUGUAUUUGAUUUUGAA